rnacentral:rRNA from 1 species
AACGUAGGUUCCGAGCGUUAUCCGGAUUUACUGGGCGUAAAGCGCGUUCAGGCGGUUCGGCAAGUCGGGCAUGAAAUCUCUCGGCUCAACCGGGGAACUGCGUCCGAUACUGGAUGGCUUGAGUUCGGGAGAGGGAUGCGGAAUUCCAGGUGUAGCGGUGAAAUGCGUAGAUAUCUGGAGGAACACCGGUGGCGAAGGCGGCAUCCUGGACCGACACUGACGCUGAGGAGCGAAAGCCAGGGGAGCAAACAGG